UUAAUAUGAGAGUUUGAUCUUGGCUCAGGAUGAACGCUGGCGGCGUGCCUAAUACAUGCAAGUCGAACGAACUUCCGUUAAUUGAUUAUGAGGUGCUUGCACUGAAUGAGAUUUUAAUAUGAAGUGAGUGGCGGACGGGUGAGUAACACGUGGGUAACCUGCCCAGAAGCAGGGGAUAACACCUGGAAACAGAUGCUAAUACCGUAUAACAGAGAAAAC
rnacentral:rRNA from 1 species